rnacentral:lncRNA from 1 species
UGGGAUGUUUGGAUAGGCUGUGAUGACUCCCAUGGUAAAAGGUCAAUUACUGAAGGGAUUGCAGAUUCAUGGAUCGAUUUAGAAUUUUGGUUUUCCAUAAGGUAAGAAUAAAGAAAAUAAAUAAAGAAUAUAAAAGAUAAGAAAAGAUAAAAGUAUAGAUACAAGCUAGUAGUAAGACUCAAGGUUAUCUCAGCAAACCGUCUUUCUCCCCGGCAACGGCGCCAGAAAUGCUUGUUGAUAUUUGGGAACGCAGUAAGGAAUUGAUCCGCAAGCGCACGGAUAUCGGUGGGCACUUCACCCGGGAGGUUAUCC